GAAGCCCUGGCUACGUGUCUAAUCCUGUGGUUUCCUGCCCCGACGGCAGCCACCUCCUCCAUUGCGGUUUGAGUCAUCCGUGGAUUCAAGAUGAGAGUGACCCACAAUUCAAUGUCGUCACUGACGUGGAGAAAAAGCAAUGCAGACUGGAGGGCAAACAAUGUGUGAAGUGUCGUCUGUAUGCCUAUUGCAUUUCCGUAGGCAAAUAAAGCCCAGUUGUUGUUAUUACACGCGCACGGAAGACAUCAAUGCAGCAGGAAAAAUGCAAGCAGAAUGAUAGUACUAAUCGGC